rnacentral:rRNA from 1 species
GAUGAACGCUAGCGGGAGGCUUAACACAUGCAAGUCGAAGGGCAGCACGUCUUCGGAUGGUGGCGACUGGCGAACGGGUGCGUAACGCGUAUGCAACCUACCCUCAACAGGGGAAUAGCCCAGAGAAAUUUGGAUUAAUACCCCAUAGUAUUACAGAUUCGCAUGUUUCUGUGAUUAAAGUUCCAACGGUUGAGGAUGGGCAUGCGUGACAUUAGCUUGUUGGUGAGGUAACGGCUCACCAAGGCAACGAUGUCUAGGGGUUCUGAGAGGAUGAUCCCCCACACUGGUACUGAGACACGGACCAGACUCCUACGGGAGGCAGCAGUGAGGAAUAUUGGACAAUGGAGGCAACUCUGAACCAGCCAUGCCGCGUGCAGGAUGACGGCCCUAUGGGUUGUAAACUGCUUUUGUACCAGAGAAAACCCCAGUACGUGUACUGGGUUGAUAGUAUGGUAAGAAUAAGCAUCGGCUAACUUCGUGCCAGCAG